GUAGCUCAGUUGGUAGAGUAUGCGAUCGAAAAUCGCGGUGUCGGUGGUUCGAGUCUGCCCCUAGGCACCA
rnacentral:tRNA from 1 species